rnacentral:misc_RNA from 1 species
AUAUCAUUUCUUCGAGAUAUCAAAGCCCAGCACAGAAGUUUGAGAGAUUACUCAAAGACUUAUGCUCGCUCUAAGUACUAUGAUGAAGCAAAACCUUGGAAUGAAAGGUGUGAUGUUGCAUUUCCUUGCGCUUCCCAAAAUGAAAUUGACCAAUCUGAUGCCAUUAAUCUGGUUAAUUCAGGUUGUCGUAUACUAGUAGAAGGUUCAAAUAUGCCCUGUACACCUGAAGCGGUUGAAGUCCUGAGAAAAGCAAAUGUUCUUAUUGCUCCUGCUAUGGCAGCUGGCGCUGGAGGGGUUGUUGCUGGGGAGCUUGAAUUAAACCAUGAAUGCAAUUUGAUGCACUGGUCCCCUGAGGACUUUGAAUCAAAGUUGCAGGAAGCGAUGAAACAGACAUACCAAAGAGCCCUCAAGGCAGCAAGUGAUUUUGGUUACCAAAAAGAGAGUCCUGAAGCCUUGGUACAUGGAGCUGCCAUAUCUGCCUUUCUAACUAUUGCUCAAGCUAUGACUGAACAAGGAUGUGUAUAAAAGUCAGGCACAAUAUACAUUGUUUGCAUCCCUUGCUAAAUCAGCAAAGACCUCAAAGGACACCACUCCUUGACAGGUUCUGAAUAUCAUUAUUGGCAUUAUCAUUUUGAUUAUCAAUCUAAAUCUUCCUAGCUGAAGCUAAAGAAAAAAAACAUUGAAGAUUCUACAGUCUCUUUGUAACAUGUGUAAUAUUAAGCUGAGUCCUAAAAUGGGUGAUUGGUGGGGAAUUUAUUGGAGCACAUUCAAUGUAAAAUGAGAGACAAAAUUGUGUAGUUGUAGGGGUAGAAUAGGAAGAGCCUCCUGAAGGGAGUGCUUAUUCUUUGCACUUGAAAAGCUUUCUUGAUGCCUGAGGCAAUGUUGUGAAAUAUUGGGACGUUAUAAUCA